ACUCCUACGGGAGGCAGCAGUGAGGAAUAUUGGACAAUGGGCGGGAGCCUGAUCCAGCCAUGCCGCGUGCAGGAAGACUGCCCUAUGGGUUGUAAACUGCUUUUGUACAGGAAGAAACACUCCCUCGUGAGGGAGCUUGACGGUACUGUAAGAAUAAGGAUCGGCUAACUCCGUGCCAGCAGCCGCGGUAAUACGGAGGGCGCAAGCGUUACUCGGAAUCACUGGGCGUAAAGAGCGUGUAGGCGGAUAGAUAAGUCAGGAGUGAAAUCCUAUGGCUCAACCAUAGAACUGCUCUUGAAACUGUCAAUCUAGAGUAUGGGAGAGGUAGAUGGAAUUUCUGGUGUAGGGGUAAAAUCCGUAGAGAUCAGAAGGAAUACCGAUUGCGAAGGCGAUCUACUGGAACAUAACUGACGCUGAGACGCGAAAGCGUGGGGAGCAAACAGGAUUAGAUACCCUGGUAGGCGUAGU
rnacentral:rRNA from 1 species